UCUAAUUAAUACCAAUCCAAAUAACCCCUAAAUUAGGGAUUUCUUCAAUCCCCUCCCAUUGUUCGCCGGUUACACAAGCCAUUAUCAAAACCAUUAUUUACAACAUUCAAUCCUCUGCAUACCUAAUAAUCAAUUUAUUACGUUACACGACCCCCUUAAAAUGUUCGACUACAUAAAUCUCGAGAUAGGUUGUUUGUUGUCACCUUCCCAAGUUUCUCCAUUUUUUUUCUUGAGCAUACUCUCUGAAGAAUACCAGAUACUUUCUGCAGAGGAGAACAAUAGAAGAAGAAUAUUGGUGGUUAGUCUUGCUAAAGGAGUAGUGUAAUAUAUGCAAAUGAAUGCAAUCUAUCCACUACCCAGGAAAUCUCUGCCUUGGCAAAUAUUCUUGAAAUGCUAGAAGUACUAUUGAUCUAACCAAAGCUGUGCAUGUAUUUGUAUCACAUAGGACAAAUUUGUUGUUGACAACAUUGUUCAGAUGAUAGUGGCUUUGACAUCCGAAAAAAUAGCAAAUUGUAAGUUAAUAUGUUAACUGAUAUCGUAUAUUUUAAUUUUGACUCCCUGUUGUGUUUUCCAACUGGAGUUCAAUAUAAGGAUUUGUUUGUGAAUAAUGGGGGUAAACUAAUUUUGAUUUUGAUACUUUAUUGGAUUUUAUAGGGUUUAGAUGGUAAUGGAUUGGUCCUCAUUUAUAGAAAUGAAGGAGUAUUAAGAUGCUCCCGUUUUAUCUCAAUCUUUGUUAUAUCAGUUUUUUCUCCCACCAGAUACUUUCUGCAGAGGAGAACAAUAGAAGAAGAAUAUUGGUGGUUAGUCUUGCUAAAGGAGUAGUGUAAUAUAUGCAAAUGAAUGCAAUCUAUCCACUACCCAGGAAAUCUCUGCCUUGGCAAAUAUUCUUGAAAUGCUAGAAGUACUAUUGAUCUAACCAAAGCUGUGCAUGUAUUUGUAUCACAUAGGACAAAUUUGUUGUUGAAAACAUUGUUCAGAUGAUAGUGGCUUUGACAUCCGAAAAAAUAGCAAAUUGUAAGUUAAUAUGUUAACUGAUAUCGUAUAUUUUAAUUUUGACUCCCUGUUGUGUUUUCCAACUGGAGUUCAAUAUAAGGAUUUGUUUGUGAAUAAUGGGGGUAAACUAAUUUUGAUUUUGAUACUUUAUUGGAUUUUAUAGGGUUUAGAUGGUAAUGGAUUGGUCCUCAUUUAUAGAAAUGAAGGAGUAUUAAGAUGCUCCCGUUUUAUCUCAAUCUUUGUUAUAUCAGUUUUUUCUCCCACCAGAUACUUUCUGCAGAGGAGAACAAUAGAAGAAGAAUAUUGGUGGUUAGUCUUGCUAAAGGAGUAGUAAGUAAUACCGUUAUGUGAAAUUAAUGGAUAAUGGUGGUUCUGAAAUUUACACAUUCAGAAACUACACUUCAUAUGUCUGUGGAAAUGCUUGACUGAAGAAAGUACUGAUGCAGGUUGUUCUGUUUUCUUAAUCAGGUGUAAUAUAUGCAAAUGAAUGCAAUCUAUCCACUACCCAGGGAAUCUCCGCCUUGGCAAAUAUUCUUGAAAUGCUAGAAGUACUAUUGUUCUAACCAAAGCUAUGCAUGUAUUUGUAUCACAUAGGACAAAUUUGUGUUGACAACAUUGUUCAGAUGAUAGUGGCUUUGACAUCCGAAAAAAAUAGCAAAUUGGUUUAGAUGGUAAUGGAUUGGUCCUCUGAAUGGAUUUGCUUUGAAUGUGAGUCUCUCAUGGAUUAGGAUCCCAGUUGCCAAUUCCAAAUUUGGCUGCAGCUAAGAACAAUUUGAUAAAAUAGGUACAAGAAGUGUAGAGCAGAAGUGGCACAAUCAUGAGAAGCAAUGACCUUUCCCACUUUAUGAAAUUAUAAAGCCACCAGAUUUGGCAUGAUUUUCAUUGGAAUCAAUCAUCCUUCUUCUUAUGAUUAACUCAACAAUCAGAUUUUGGAAGAAAAUAAUGUAGGAAAUGCAGUUGCCGCUCUAUGGCUAGCAUCAAAAGCAAAGUAGUUGGUGUGAGAUUCAAGAGCUAAAUAUCAGUAAUUGACAAACCUGAAGAAGGCAAAUGAUGAGAGUCAUCCAGGAUAUCCACUCUGAAAGCUUCAUUUGCAAUUGUAAGCCACAUUCAGGAUUCAACUGAAUUAGCGAGAGGUAGAAAACAGGUGCAACUUUGUAAGGAUGCUUACGCUUAAACAAUUGAAGUUCUGCAGUAUUCUAACAGGUGCAACAUUUUUUCAGUAGAAUAGAGUACUGGCCACACAUUCAAGUAGAAAAAUGUAUAAUUCCUGACACCAUGUCAUUUUCCAGUCACAGUGAUUACAUCUUAAAUGGCAAAUCAAGGUCUUCAUUACAUAUUGUUUAACAUGGUGGUAGUGCACCUGUCGUGGGAAAGUCUUAGCCUUAGAAUUCUUCCAGUUAUUUUAUUAGUUUAGUCUCUCUUUUAAUUAGGUAUUGCCAACCGAUAUCAAACUAAUGCUGAACUUUAGUGUAUGUUCUUUUAGACGUUGUUGUGUAGUGGCAGAGCCAUUUUUAGGUGUGGUAGCUGGACCCAAACACUUUGUUAUCUUUCGUUAGUUCGUUGUCAAGUUUGUGUGUUUGUAGGAUCGUUUCUCUGCAUUAACAAUAUAUUUUAGGCGAAGGUGCUCACAAACUUUUUACCUCUUUCCAAAUUUGUAGGGCGAGAUCAAAGUAUUCAAAUACAUGUUAAUGUUCGCUGCAUAUCAUUUAGGGUAGAGGAUUUGGGAAGAUAGCAUGUUAUGGAUUACUCUCAACAUUUGGAACUGAUUGGUUCGUUGUAUGAAUUUUUUUUUUAGAGCAUUUAGUCGUUGCAAAGGUGGCACAAAAAUACGAUACGCUAAAGGAAGACAUUCCGUAGGUCUGGGAUAUUUGAAUUUUAAGUGUUUGAUAAUCCCAUUGAUUCCAAUUGCCAUUGAUUCCAAUUGCCAUUGAUUCCAAUUGCCAAAAAUAGGGUUCUUCUUCAACGUAUUAUUCAUUAGUGGUUCAUAGCGUUACGAAAUAAAUCAAACCCUUUUAACACCUUGAUUAUUUUUGCUAAUCAAUUCCCAGAGAUGUUCGACUAUAUAAUCCUCAAAAGAGGUAAUAUUCCCAAGGCUCUUAGUUUGGUUCUCUGUCAAAUUACUGUAAGUUUGAUUUUCGACGAAUUUUAUUUGUUUGUUACUCUUUCUGAAAUAUUUCUCUUAUUCAGUUGUUCGGAUUAGAUGGGUAUUGCUAAAAGUUUUGAUACAGUGUUCCGGUUUUUGUUGGUAGAGGACAUGUUGGGGAGACAAGCCAUCAUCCAUCUUUUUAAAAUGGAAACAAGAGGGAUGGUGCAUGUUAUGGAAUUUGCAUGGAGCUUUGGUCAUCUGAAGGUGAUCAUCAAGUCAGAUAUAUUUCUAAGGAUAACACAUUUAUGAUUUUGAUAUUUUAGGCAAGUAAUCAAAAGCAAUAUUUUGAAUAUUCUAAAAAGCUCAGGUGGUGAUGAACGUGGUGACAUUAGUGAAAACGGUAAAGAAGAAUACAGAGCUGCCCUUGGAAGGACCCAACCCCAUCAUCACCAGAUUGGCACGGUAUAUGUAAUUAUCUAUAUCCAUAAAUUUGCUCAUUUAUGUUAGAGAAAACAAUAUGUGAUUAAUUCCUAUAGUUAAUUUGAUGCUUUGAUAAGAAAACAUCAGUUUUAUCCUUAAGUUGUAUAGACCUGGCUACGUGGUUCAUUUGAAUGCCCUACAAAAUUUAGAAGACAGUCUUUUUAACCACUUUAAUUUUAAAGAGUUACCUGAUUGGCGUUGAAGCUCCUAUGGGAGAUGGAUAUCAAGAGAUUGAGGUAAGAUUACAAAUGCCCAACAGUCUUUGGGGAGAUGCGGCAAACCAGCCAACUGUUGCAAAAAUUGUGCUACACCUGCAAGCCGGAGGUUAGAAAACCAACAACAGGGUACGUAGAAAAUGUUCGAAUAUACUGGAAGGACCGUGUUUAUCGCUUUCUAUAAUACUGCGGGAAUAUAAUGGAAAAAUUAAAGGGGGUGACAGUUUGUUUUUGUUAGGUAUCUCCUUUCUUCAAAGAGUUAUUGUCAGGUGAAGCAGAAUUGAGCAAGCUUGAUAUAUGGGGAUACUACGCUACCAAAGAUAACCAUUAUCUUACUUUACCAAGGAAUACCUGCGCGCCUGAGUUUUAGGCCAUUGGAUUUAAAAAUCCUUGCAGUUUUGAUUCAGAAACACCAUCUUAUUUUUCUCUGUUGCCCUUGCAAGGUGGGAAGUUUGUUUUGUUCUUGCCUAUUUUUAGUCUGAUAUUCUAUUGUUAUUUUGAUCAACUUUAUCAUUUUCUUUAAGCUGGUGCUUGGUGCUCAUUGUACUUUCUAUUGAAAUAUUAACUCUCGCAUCAUGUUUUGUGUGGCCACUACUUUGUCAGUUCGAUUGAACCAUCUUGGAAUAUACUUAUAUCCUCCGGAUACUUGC